rfam:Stereum hirsutum FP-91666 SS1 unplaced genomic scaffold STEHIscaffold_7, whole genome shotgun sequence.
ACACCGGUGGUGAAACGGUAUCAUGCUUGCCUUCCAUACCGAACGGUUAUGUGCUGACAGCAAGCGGCACGGGUUCGACUCCCGUCCGGUGUA